GACGAACGCUGGCGGCGUGCCUAAUACAUGCAGGUAGAACGCACAGUUUAUACCGUAGCUUGCUACACCAUAGACUGUGAGUUGCGAACGGGUGAGUAACGCGUAGGUAACCUGCCUGGUAGCGGGGGAUAACUAUUGGAAACGAUAGCUAAUACCGCAUAAUAUUAAUUAUUGCAUGAUAAUUAAUUUAAAGGUGCAAUUGCACCACUACCAGAUGGACCUGCGUUGUAUUAGCUAGUAGGUGAGGUAACGGCUCACCUAGGCGACGAUACAUAGCCGACCGGAGAGGGGGAUCGGCCACACUGGGACGGAGACACGGCACAGACGCCUACGGGAGGGAGCAGGAGGGAAUCUUCGGCAAUGGACGAAAGGCGGACCGAGCAACGCCGCGUGAGGGAAGAAGGGUUUCGGAUCGUAAAGCUCUGUUGUAAGAGAAGAACGGGUGUGAGAGUGGAAAGUUCACACUGUGACGGUAUCUUAACAGAAAGGGACGGCUAACUACGUG
rnacentral:rRNA from 1 species